CACUAAAAAACGCCGCCUAGGACACCACUUUCUCCCCCACUCAUCCUCUUUCUCCCCCACAAGUUUCUCCAACCCUAAUCGCCGCCGCCGGGACACAACCGCCAUCGACGACCUGCCUCCUUGACCAGGUACCUCACCGCCGCCACUAGACACAUCCGCCGUCGACGACCUGCCUCCUCGACCAGGUACCUCACCGCCGCCCCCUUACCUCUCAUCGCGUUGAUGAGCUGCGUCGUCGUCGACUUCACUCGCCGCAUCCCGCUCUAUCUCAUUGCCAUCCGCAUUUCUCUCGCCCCUUCCACCUAACACGCCCCAUCCACAUUUCUCUUGCCAACCCCUAAACCCUAACCAUCGUUGGAUUUGGGUCAUCGCCGACGACCUUGAUGGUGAACACAAGGAGGCAAAACAGUCAGAAAGGUCCACAAUAAGAAGAAGUUCAACAUGAGAUAACUGAUUAUGAGAGAAGACGGGAUAAACAAGUGGAGGAGAAUAUAAAGAAGAUGCAAGAUUUGGGUCUGAACAAAUAUACUUCUGUUCUAAAUAAAUCUUUACCACCAUCUGCAUCAACAAAGGGGAAAAUGCAGCAAACAAGAAAACUAAUAGUUCAGAUUCGGAUUCAUAUGUCUCUGUCUAUCUCCUUGACGAUGAUGAUCAAGGAGAUAUUGAUGAUGAUGACACUCAAUCUUAUGAGCAGCCACAACCCCUGGCAAUUAAGUAUCCUAGAAGUGCUACAAACACAACUCGUGCUUCAAAGAAGAAGACAAACCCCAACAUGGCUCCAGGAAUUAGGUUCAGCAAGAGAGUGAGGGCAGGUCCACAACCAGAGGAGCAAACUUCAAAAAGGCUUCAGUCUAUAGAGACAGAUGGCCACAAUGUACAGGAACCAACAGAUGCUAAUGAUGACAUACCAAACAACCCUACUACACCUGGACUUGCUAACCAUUUCAGCAGAGCUACAGAGAAAGACAUGGCAUCCGCUGCUCAUGACAGUACAGGUGAUGCUGAAGGCAAUGUAGCUAGAGAUGAAGAAACUAAAG